CUUGGUAAGUCACAAAUUGUGCAGACCUAAAGUAAGGCCUUUCUUACCCACAUAUGCUUAAUGCUACUUAAAAAUGUAAAACAUUUAAAUUAUGCAUUAGCAGUGGACAUGACACCUUGCAAAGCCACAUAAAUGGAUUUAAGAGGCUUCCAAAGAGUUUACAAUAAAUGGUGGUGUGGAGGGAGGAUUCUUUGGACACACUUUUCCCAUCAAUGAUGCAGUUUCUUUCAUAAAGGAUGAACUGAGCCUCUCUACAGAGGUGUGAACCAUUGUCAGGAGUAGACAUGGGCAGGAACUGCAUUAUGAACUUCAAAAACCCACGAAAUUGGCGAUCGCGCAAUCGCGUGAUCGCGAUCCAGCAGAUCUGAUUGUCCUUGGCCAACGAACUAGUGUUCGGAAGAAGCCUGGUUUGGUGAGUUUGGCCGCGGUUCGAGAAGCCAGACAGUCAGGCACCAUCAAUCAAUUUCCCUGGAAAUGGAGCCGGGGGAAUGCCUGAACUCUGUCUGCGCUCCUUCUGUCGCCCUGGAAACCCGAAUGGAAGCCCAGCUUACCUUGAUCGGCAGGUCUUCCUUCCAACCAUGGAGCUGCAAAGCUGUUACAGGUUGAGAGAAGACACCCGGGGGAGGGAGGGGGAAGGGGGUUGUAAUGAUUUCACAGCCGGAGAACAGUUAUUGUAUUGUAUUUCCGGGCUGUAAACCAUGCUCUGUUCAUUCUUAAGCAUGGUUUCCAGUUCUGAAAAACACCAGGCUAACAAAACACUCUAUACUCGACAAUAGUUCUGCAGAGAAGAUUAGCACAUCAAGCACCAAUCCAUAUGCAAAAGAACCUCCUCAGGAUACAGUGAAGCCUCCCUCCAUUAGCAUUCCACACCCUGGGAAACUCUUACAGGAUGACUCAGCUCAACCCCACCCCUCCUGAGUAGAUACAAAUGACCUGCCAACAUCCUUUCCACACUGUGACUCUGAGAGAUCUCUGUCUUUUGGUGCUACACCUCUGAAGAUGCCAGCCACAGCUGCUGGCGAAACGUCAGGAACUACAAUGCCAAGACCACGGCGAUACAGCCCGGAAAACCCACAACAACCAACAGUAUAAAGAGUUAGGAAACUUCUUGAAGGAUGCUAGCCUUUUAAAUGAGUUACCCAGUGCAUCAAACAUGAAAAGAGCAUGUAAAGAACUGAGCUCAAACCCUGUUUGCAAGGAAGAAAUAGACUGUUUAGGAAAGAACAGAAUAUUGAUAGAGAAACACCCAGAAGAAGCAAACAACGACCUAGUAGAGAAGGCCAAAGCCGAGAUGACCUCAGCCCAGCAGUGGAGCAUCCCAGAGAGCGAGAUGACCUCAGCCCAGCAGUGGAACAUCCCAGAGAGGAAGAUGACACCCCAGCAGAGGAGGAACACAAGUUAAAGAAACCCAAGACUAAAGUCUUGGGUUUAAAAACCACAGAAGAGUGAGAAGUGGACUUAACUGGAACUGCAGAGACAAUAAAACAUUCCCUAAGCCGGAGAAAGCUGCACACAACUCUUCUGAAAAAGAGAUGUGUUCCGCUUAAGGAGAAGGGGGGGGGGAUUUGUAAUGAUUCCAAGUAAAUGUGUGCAUGUGUCUUUAAAUGCUUGGUAUGAGCUAGGUGAAGAGUGGGGGUGAGAGGAAUGAGUGAGCGAUAUGAUUGGUUGACUGAGAUUGUGGGCGGAGUGAAUGCAGUUUAGACUGAGAGUGCAGGGAGAAAGGAGGGGAGUCAGUAAAAAGCAGGCUAGCUGUGUGCUGCCUGAAUAUGUUGAAGUGUUUAUGACAGAAAUAUAACCUGUGUGGAACCUGAACUGAGCAUGUUUGUGAAAGGACACUCAGUCAGGGAAAGAGAGGCCAGCUGUGUGCUGCCUGAGCAGGUUUAAUAUUCCUGUGAAUGAGAGUCAGAGAAAGAAAGGCUAGCUGUGUGCUGCCUAUAUUUGAAGUAUUUGUGAGAGAACUAUUGAAUCUAGUGAAGGGGGCUAACUGUGCGUGAAGCCUUAGAAGAUAUCUGUGUGAAUGAGUUUAUAGGAAGUAACUUUAAGAACUAAGAACUACUUUAUGAAACCAAUACGCUUCUUGAAAAAUAAACAUUUAUUUUGUUUUGUUA